rnacentral:rRNA from 1 species
UGACCAACCUGCCCCUAACUCUGGGAUAACCCCGGGAAACCGGAGCUAAUACCGGAUACGAGACCGAGUGGCAUCACACGGUCUGGAAAGUUUUUCGGUUAGGGAUGGGGUCGCGGCCUAUCAGCUUGUUGGUGGGGUGACGGCCCACCAAGGCGACGACGGGUAGCCGGCCUGAGAGGGCGACCGGCCACACUGGGACUGAGACACGGCCCAGACUCCUACGGGAGGCA